rnacentral:rRNA from 1 species
AUUGAACGCUGGCGGCAGGCCUAACACAUGCAAGUCGAACGAGUGGCGGACGGGUGAGUAAUGUCUGGGAAACUGCCCGAUGGAGGGGGAUAACUACUGGAAACGGUAGCUAAUACCGCAUACCAUCGGAUGUGCCCAGAGGGGAUUAGAUAGUGGGUGGGGUAACGGCUCACCUAGGCCACGAUCCCUAGCUGGUCUGAGAGGAUGACCAGCCACACUGGAACGGAGACACGGUCCAGAUGCCUACGGGAGGCAGCAGUGGGGAAUAUUGCACAAUGGGCGAAAGCCUGAUGCAGCCAUGCCGCGUGUAUGAAGAAGGCCUUCGGGUUGUAAAGUACUUUCAUCGGGGAGGCGUUACUCGCAGAAGAAGCACCGGCUAACUCCGUGCCAGCCGCCGCGGUAAUUC